rnacentral:rRNA from 1 species
GACGUAACGCGUAGGAACGGCGAGUACUCUAGACGAACUGCCGUUGACAAAACGGAGGAAGGUGGGGAUGACGUCAAAUCAUCAUGCCCCUUAUGUUCUGGGCUACACACGUGCUACAAUGGCCGGUACAGACGGACGCAAAGCCGCGAGGUGGAGCAAAUCCUAAAAAGCCGGUCUCAGUUCGGAUUGCAGGCUGCAAUUCGCCUGCAUGAAGUCGGAAUCGCUAGUAAUCGCAGGUCAGCAUACUGCGGUGAAUACGUUCCCGGGCCUU